rnacentral:rRNA from 1 species
AUUGAACGCUGGCGGCAGGCUUAACACAUGCAAGUCGAGCGGAGAGAGGUAGCUUGCUACCGAUCUUAGCGGCGGACGGGUGAGUAAUGCUUAGGAAUCUGCCUAUUAGUGGGGGACAACAUUCCGAAAGGAAUGCUAAUACCGCAUACGCCCUACGGGGGAAAGCAGGGGAUCUUCGGACCUUGCGCUAAUAGAUGAGCCUAAGUCGGAUUAGCUAGUUGGUGGGGUAAAGGCCUACCAAGGCGACGAUCUGUAGCGGGUCUGAGAGGAUGAUCCGCCACACUGGGACUGAGACACGGCCCAGACUCCUACGGGAGGCAGCAGUGGGGAAUAUUGGACAAUGGGCGGAAGCCUGAUCCAGCCAUGCCGCGUGUGUGAAGAAGGCCUUUUGGUUGUAAAGCACUUUAAGCGAGGAGGAGGCUACCUGGAUUAAUACUCUAGGAUAGUGGACGUUACUCGCAGAAUAAGCACCGGCUAACUCUGUGCCAGCAGCCGCAGUAAGAC